UACGGAGGGUGCAAACGUUGCUCGGAAUCAUUGGGCGUAAAGAGCGUGUAGGCGGUUCGGUAAGUCUGCUGUGAAAGUCCAGGGCUCAACCCUGGAAUGCCAGUGGAAACUGCCGAGCUAGAGUCCGGAAGAGGCGAGUGGAAUUCCUGGUGUAGCGGUGAAAUGCGUAGAUAUCGGGAGGAACACCGGUGGCGAAGGCGGGUCUCUGGGCCGAUACUGACGCUGAGGAGCGAAAGCGUGGGGAGCGAACAGGAUUGAGAUACC
rnacentral:rRNA from 1 species